UUAUCUAGGAAGUUGACAGAUUGGUGGGUAAUUUCUGCAGUGAUUUUCAAUUUCAACUUUUCUAUGAGUUUCAAUUGAAAAUCACCGCAGAAAUUACCCACCAAUCUGUCAACUUCCUAG
rnacentral:miRNA from 1 species